UCCGUAGGUGAACCUGCGGAAGGAUCAUUAAUGAAUUCGGGCGCUCGACUCUGAAAUAUUGAGAUCGGCCCCAUUUCUUAAUCCACUUCACACUUGUGCACAUUUUUCCUACUUUCCUUCGGGAGAGUUUGAAAAGCUCUUGUGAUUUUAAUCAAGUCCAGGAUGUGAAUCCAAUUUGAAUAAGUUGUAAAACAACUACAAACGGUGGAUCUCUUGGCUCUCGUAUCGAUGAAGAACGCAGCGAAACGCGAAAUGUAAUGUGAAUUGCAGAAUUCAGUGAAUCAUCGAAUCUUUGAACGCAUCUUGCACUCUCGAAUCACUAUCGAGAGUAUGCCUGUUUGAGUGUCGCGAAACUCUCAACCCCGCCUCAUGCUUUAUUGCGUGUGGGUAGCUUGGGCUUGGAUCAUGAUCUUUGCAGUAAUGCGCUAGCAGAACUGCUGGAUUGAAAUACAACAAGCUGAAUCUAUAUACUUGCGGCUUGACCUGUCGUUGUAAGCACACAAAUGCAUUCGAUGGGGACGCGAGAAAAUGGAAUGAGCUUUCCAAAUGUGUUACACUUUGCAGCUUCUAUUAACUUAGAGCUCUUAGUGCAUUCUGACCUCAAAUCAGGUAGGAUUACCCGCUGAACUUAAGCAUAUCAAUAAGCGGAGGAAAAG
rnacentral:rRNA from 1 species